rnacentral:rRNA from 1 species
AUUGAACGCUGGCGGCAGGCCUAACACAUGCAAGUCGAGCGGAUGAAGGGAGCUUGCUCCUGGAUUCAGCGGCGGACGGGUGAGUAAUGCCUAGGAAUCUGCCUGGUAGUGGGGGAUAACGUCCGGAAACGGGCGCUAAUACCGCAUACGUCCUGAGGGAGAAAGUGGGGGAUCUUCGGACCUCACGCUAUCAGAUGAGCCUAGGUCGGAUUAGCUAGUUGGUGGGGUAAAGGCCUACCAAGGCGACGAUCCGUAACUGGUCUGAGAGGAUGAUCAGUCACCCUGGAACUGAGACACGGUCCAGACUCCUAAGGGAGGCAGCAGUGGGGAAUCUUGGACAAUGGGCGAAAGCCUGAUCCAGCCAUGCCGCGUGUGUGAAGAAGGUCUUCGGAUUGUAAAGCACUUUAAGUUGGGAGGAAGGGCAGUAAGUUAAUACCUUGCUGUUUUGACGUUACCAACAGAAUAAGCACCGGCUAACUUCGUG